GCAGUACCUGGAAGAAGCCCGUGUCGCCUGGUUCGAGCUGGCCGGCGUAGCCAUGAGCAACGUGCCGUUCGGUCCGGUGGUGCUGCA
rnacentral:tRNA from 1 species